rnacentral:rRNA from 1 species
CCUACGGGUGGCAGCAGUCGAGAAUCAUUCACAAUGGGGGAAACCCUGAUGGUGCGACGCCGCGUGGGGGACUGAAGGUCUUCGGAUUGUAAACUUCUGUCAUGUGGGAGCAAAUUCAAAAGAUAGUACCACAAGAGGAAGAGUCGGCUAACUCUGUGCCAGUAGCCGCGGUAAAACAGAGGUCUCAAGCGUUGUUCGGAAUCACUGGGCGUAAAGCGUGCGUAGGCAGGUUCGUAAGUCGUGUGUGAAAGGCGCGGGUUCAACCCGCGGACGGCACAUGAUACUGCGAGACUAGAGUAAUGGAGAGGGAACCGGAAUUCGCGGUGUAGCAGUGAAAUGCGUAGAUAUCGAGAGGAACACUCGUGGCGAAGGCGGGUUCCUGGCCGUUAACUGACGCUGAGGCACGAAGGCCAGGGGAGCGAAAGGGAUUAGAUACCCCUGUAGUC